UACCACCUCAUAAUGCUGGCUUCUGAAAUCAUAUGGAAAGGAGUCACCGAGAAACUCGCUGCCAUGUGAAUCAUCUCGCAUGAACCAUCUCUGUUCCCAUGGCCAAUCUUCCUGGAUAGUUAGCCUAUAUUCUUUUAAUUGUGGAUUUGAACACUUUGAACGCAAAAGGCACAAAUACAGUUAAAAACCUUCGAAGGAUGCCCUGGAGGAAGAGUCUCCCAACCAAAAUUUUACUUCCUAUCCUAGCUUCCCGCUGCAUGGUUACUAAAUCCUUUUGCUUUUUCUUUUCUUCGUUUUCAUAAUUCAACUUGAGUACAUCCAAGUGAUCUUCGGAGGGAAAAAAAAAUCCAAAUGUUGAACUGGAAUUGGAUUAAAGUUUUGUAUUUAGGGUAAAAGUGGAAGGGUACUCCCAUGAGAAAAAUUUGGAGGAGCAUCACGUUUAGGUCAUGGCUGUCUUAUUAUGGGGGUAUUUGAAAAACUCAAAAACGUGUUUAGCAAAGUACAAAGAGGACAAUGGAUGUCACUGUUCAAGGGCUGUGUGCAACUGUGUGGAAGGGUUCCACACAGCACUUUAGUACAAAAUGCUCAGGGAAAAAAAAAAAACUGUGCUUAUUCUUAUUCUUCAUCUGGGUCUCAUGAAUACAACGUAGAUAAGGUAGGAUGUGAUUUAAGAAGAGGACAUCAGGAAAAACAAGAUUCAGCUGUGUCUGUGUGCUGUGUUGAUGUAAUUAUAACUCCAUGCUGAAUUGAGUUUUUUCUAGCAAAUCACUGAACAUAUGGAUGGUCUUGGAGACCCCUCCAAAAGAGUCACCUAAUUACAUAAAAUACCAAUUAGUAUGAAAUAAAACAGUAGAAGUUGCCUUUUUCAAUCCCUCAAGA
rnacentral:lncRNA from 1 species